rnacentral:rRNA from 1 species
UGGGGAAUCUUAGACAAUGGGGGAAACCCUGAUCUAGCCAUGCCGCGUGAGUGAUGAAGGCCCUAGGGUCGUAAAGCUCUUUCGCCAGGGAUGAUAAUGACAGUACCUGGUAAAGAAACCCCGGCUAACUCCGUGCCAGCAGCCGCGGUAAUACGGAGGGGGUUAGCGUUGUUCGGAAUUACUGGGCGUAAAGCGCGCGUAGGCGGGCUGUUAAGUCGGGGGUGAAAUCCCGGGGCUCAACCCCGGAACUGCCUCGGAUACUGGCAGUCUAGAGUUCGAGAGAGGUGAGUGGAGUUCCGAGUGUAGAGGUGAAAUUCGUAGAUAUUCGGAGGAACACCAGUGGCGAAGGCGGCUCACUGGCUCGAAACUGACGCUGAGGUGCGAAAGUGUGGGGAGCAAACAGGAUUAGAUACCCCCGUAGUCC